rnacentral:rRNA from 1 species
UACGUAGGGUGCGAGCGUUACUCGGAAUUACUGGGCGUAAAGCGUGCGUAGGCGGUUCUCCAAGUCCGUUGUGAAAGCCCCGGGCUCAACCUGGGAAUGGCAGUGGAAACUAGGGGACUGGAAUCUGGCAGAGGGGGGUGGAAUGCCGCGUGUAGCAGUGAAAUGCGUAGAGAUGCGGCGGAACAACGAUGGCGAAGGCAGCCCCCUGGGCUGAGAUUGACGCUCAGGCCCGAAAGCGUGGGGAGCAAACAGG